rnacentral:rRNA from 1 species
UCGGUUCCUAUCUGCCGUGGGCGCUGGAGAAUUGAGGGGGGCUGCUCCUAGUACGAGAGGACCGGAGUGGACGCAUCACUGGUGUUCGGGUUGUCAUGCCAAUGGCAUUGCCCGGUAGCUAAAUGCGGAAGAGAUAAGUGCUGAAAGCAUCUAAGCACGAAACUUGCCCCGAGAUGAGUUCUCCCUGAGACUUUAAGUCUCCUGAAGGAACGUUAAAGACGAUGACGUUGAUAGGUCGGGUGUGUAAGCGUAGCGAUACGUUGAGCUAACCGAUACUAAUGAACCGUGAGGCUUAACCUU